AUCCAGCCGAUGAGUCCCAAAUAGGACGAAACGCGCGUUCUGGAU
rfam:Schistosoma rodhaini strain Burundi genome assembly, scaffold: SROB_scaffold0008847